CAAACCACAUGGUAAGCAAUUCAGGCCCCUUGAUACUGAUAAAAUUUGCUUGACAUUCAUUGGCAAUAGCCUUAGCCAACAAAGUUUUCCCACAUCCAGGUGGCCCAUAGAAAAGAACUCCCUUCGAGGGCGACAUACCGAACUUUUCAAAUUUCUCAGGAUGCUCCACAGGAUACUGAACAGUCUGAAAGACAAAAUACAUAUAGGUAAACAAGUUUAUUCAUAAAAGAAAAACAGAUAGUACUGUUAACAGAAAUUAAUAUAUGGCAGAAUUCUGAAAGUCAAAUCACCUCUUGAAGCUCCCUCUUAACAUUCUCCAGGCCUCCAAUAUCUUCCCAACUAACAUUGGGCACUUCAACAACCUGGCCCAACAGAAAACUCAUGAUCAGCGACAACUAAACAUUUAAGAGAGAGAGAGAGAGAAGAAAAUAACAACAUACGGUUUCUCGGAGAGCAGAGGGAUUGCUAGUCCCAAGAGCAGUAUGGAAGUGCUCGUUAGUAACAGCCAUAGAGUUGAGUAUCUCUGCAUCAAUGGAAUCAUCUUCCAAAUCAAUCACGUCCAUCUUCUCCCUGAUGCAUUGAAGUGCAGCCUCAGUACACAGAGCCGCUAAAUCUGCACCUACAUAUCCAUGUGUGUCCUUGGAAAUUCUUUCCAAAUCAACCUGCAUAGCCAAAAGCAAUAUUAAUGUACCAAAAUCUUGAAAAAUUAUACACAUACUCGACUAAAUAAUAAGCAAAUUAGGGGAUUGAACUUACAUCUUCAGCAAGUUUCAUGUUCUUUGUAUGGAUACGGAGAACCUCAAGUCGCCCAAUUUCAUCAGGAACGCCAAUAUCUAUCUCUCUAUCAAAUCUUCCAAACCUCCUCAAAGCAGGGUCAAUGCUAUUGGGACGAUUUGUAGCACCCAUAACAAUGACAUGGGCACGGGAUUUAAGUCCAUCCAUAAGUGUCAACAGCUGGGAAACAAUCCUUCUCUCGACCUCUCCGUGGGUCUUCUCUCGCUUGGGAGCAAUUGAAUCAAUCUCAUCAAUAAAGAUAAUGGAUGGAGCAUUCUUUUCUGCUUCCUCAAAUGCUUUCCUGAGAUUGCUUUCACUCUCCCCAGCCAACUUUGACAUAAUUUCCGGUCCAUUUAUACAAAAGAAAAAAGCACCAGUUUCAUUUGCAACAGCUCGGGCUAUUAAAGUUUUUCCGGAUCCAGGUGGUCCAUAGAGCAAAAUUCCUUUUGGUGGCUUUACUCCUAUAGACUUGAAGAGUUGUGGAUGUCUCAACGGUAACUCGACCAACUCCCUAAUCUGUGC
rnacentral:lncRNA from 1 species